rnacentral:rRNA from 1 species
UACGUAGGGGGCAAGCGUUGUCCGGAAUCAUUGGGCGUAAAGGGUGUGUAGGUGGCGCGCUAAGUCGGAUGUGAAAUCCCCAGGCUUAACCUGGGAACUGCAUCCGAUACUGGAUGGCUUGAAUCCGGGAGAGGGAUGCGGAAUUCCAGGUGUAGCGGUGAAAUGCGUAGAUAUCUGGAGGAACACCUGCGGCGAAGGCGGGUUGCUGGGCUGACACUGACGCUGAGGCGCGAAAGCCAGGGGAGCGAACGGG